GUGUUUGCUUUGGCUACACAUGUACUAAAUUGAACAAUACAGAAAUUACCGUGGCCUCUGUGCAAGGAUGAAACACAAAUGUGUGAAGCACUCCAUAUGUUU
ensembl:snRNA U6 U6 spliceosomal RNA